UACGUAGGGUGCAAGCGUUGUCCGGAAUUAUUGGGCGUAAAGAGCUCGUAGGCGGUCUGUCGCGUCGGCUGUGAAAACCCGAGGCUCAACCUCGGGCCUGCAGUCGAUACGGGCAAACUAGAGUACUGCAGGGGAGACUGGAAUUCCUGGUGUAGCGGUGAAAUGCGCAGAUAUCAGGAAGAACACCUAUGGCGAAGGCAGCUCUCUGGGACGGUACUGACGCUGAGACGCGAAAGCGUGGGGAGCGAACAGG
rnacentral:rRNA from 1 species